GAUCCUGGCUCAAGACGAACGCUGGCGGCGCGCCUAACACAUGCAAGUCGAACGAGAGAUGAGGAGCUUGCUCUUCAAAUCGAGUGGCGAACGGGUGAGUAACGCGUGAGGAACCUGCCUCAAAGAGGGGGACAACAGUUGGAAACGACUGCUAAUACCGCAUAAGCCCACAGCUCGGCAUCGAGCAGAGGGAAAAGGAGCGAUCCGCUUUGAGAUGGCCUCGCGUCCGAUUAG
rnacentral:rRNA from 1 species